rnacentral:lncRNA from 10 species
GUGUGGGCUGGUCCCCAGACCUGCAGGUGAUGCAUGAGUAUGGGUCCUAGCUCUGCUGGUAGUGGCAGGUUAAGUGGGCCUGACCUCAGACCCUGGGAGUAGUGUUCAGGUGUCACUGGUGGUGGACUUAGUGAGGUGAUCUUUUUUACUCGCUAUUGUGGUUCCUCUCCAUAGAUGAGACAAGUACCAGAUACAUCUAGUCAACUAUCUUCAGCAUUGAUUUUUAUUGGUUUUGAUUGCUUAUCUAAACUAGUAGAGCAAAUUAUUUUAGUAUGCAUGGUGAGUGCCUUUAACAUUCAGUCAUUUAACAAAUAUUUAUUGUGUGAUAACUAUGUGCCAGACACAGUACUAAGCAUUUGGGAUAUAUACAAGGAUCUUUGUUGUGAUGGAGCUUAUUUUUCAGAUAGGCAAGCAAACAAGUAAAUAAAAAGAUCAAGAUAAUUUUAGUUAGUGAUAAAGGCUAUUAAAAAAGUAAUAUGCUAACUAGUGUUUGAUGUGUUUGUAGACCAUGGCUAUGGGGCCACUACUGUAGAUUGAGAAGUGAAAGAAGGCCUUUCUGAGAUAAUAUUUGAACUAAAAUCAGAAUGACAAGGAAUUAGGGCCCUGCAAAGAUCUGGGUUAAGAGCAUUCCUCUUAGCAGAUAAAAAGUUGAUAUGUUGAAGGAACAGAUAUAAUGCCCCUGUGGCCAGGAUAGAGUUAGAAAAGUGGUGUGAAUAGUGUUAGGAUAGAGCCAGAACAAGUGCUGAAAUUGGUAAUUGUGGAAAUUAGACCCUUAUUCAGACGUUUUUUUUGAGAUGGAGUCUUGCUCUGUCACCCAGGCUGG